GUCAACCUGAUAGUUUUGAAACUGUGAUGACGGCUUUGGCUUUUUGCUUUGUCUCUACAGGAUACACAGCACAAACAACAGGGAUGUUUUGUCUGCAAAUACAUCAAGACUAAGAAAUCUGGUGAGGCAAGAAAACAAACAGAUCUACUCCUGGAUGCCUCAAUUCACACGCUGUUAUUUCUCUCUGAAACCAUUUCCAUCCCUGAGGACAAACAGAGCAAGACUGGGAAAGUGUGUCUCUCUCCAUAUACAAGACCUGUACUGAACAAGGGAUGGGUUGCAAACUUGGUCAUUCAGCAUGCAGACCAGCUUCACAACACCACAGUUUUGUUUUUAUCACAGCCUAAGCUGAAUGAGGCUUCAGCAAUCUGUUAAAUGAAACCAGUUUCCACUCCUGACAGCAGUGAGGACAGCUUCCUAUUACCUCUGCUUGAGAUCUCCAGACUUGUUGCUUCAUCCGCUUCUCUUCCUCUGUUAGCUCUUGCAACAAUUUAUACAGGGGGACCAGCUUUGUGCGCUGCUCAGGGAACCCCGCCUGGAAGCAGAUAAGCUAGUGAAAGGCAGUAUUGUUGUCUGGGUGCACGGGACCAAGUACUUUGCAAAUAUGAACUGGCACCAUUCUGCUAAGUCAAUAUAAGGGCACUGCUUUACACCAUAAAAACAUCCAACCCAUUGUCAAUAGUUGACUGCAGUUCACCUAGACUUUGAGUCCAUCAGUAAUGUCAGCCAGAUUGCAUGUCCUGCAUCUCUUAGAUGAUGUUCCUGUUAUUUGGCUGAGACUGUUUAUACAGGGUUAGAGAUGAAACAACAGCACUCCAGCAACUGCAUCUCCACACCAGAAAUAUAAAUUAAGAAAUAUAUAUUCGUUGCGUUUAUAUCUUUGUAACCUGAUUUCCUAUGUGUAACUGUGCAGCAUCACAAUGUACAGGCAGACAUCAGCUUCUGACUACAAACUCACAUCAGAGACAUUAAUGAAGUGACCCCUCCAUGAAUGAGAGAAUUUGGCCUAAUGACAGCACUUUCCUUUUUGGGGAUAUCUUUUAUUUAAGGCUAUCUGUCUACCUACCUAUCAGCAAUAAAGAAAGCCUCAGUACCUUGCCUGAAUUUGCAGAGUGAACUGGGGGUGAUUUAAACAACAGUGUGACCCAGGCUUUGUGAUCCAUGGCAGAAUUUGAGUUAAAAUCUGCUCUGCUUCUCUGCUAUAGUCUCUUAAAGAGAGAACAGAAAAGGGAAUUUCAACUUCCCUGCAACGAAUUUGCAGGAUUGAGACAAGCAGCAGCUGAAUCAGCAUCUUGCAAGAUCUCAGUGGCCAUAUAAACUACCUGAUAAGCAGAUGGAGGAGAGGCUGAGCGUGAAUAUGCCAUGCCAUGCUUCCACUGACAUUACACCUAUCCUUUGUGUCUCCAUGACCCAGAAAAGCACCUUGAUAUAGGUAGAUUUUCUCCAUACCUGGUAUGUGACGCACAUAUCUGGGGUCAUGAUUUCACUUUGCUUCCUAUAGCUCUCUGCUGGUUUGAAGAAGUCCUUCUUUGAGGCUGUGAUGUAUUUAUUCUUGAGGUGGUAUAUCAGCUGGAUCACAUCUUCUUCGAGCAGAAAGACACGUUCUGCUACAUCUUCAUCAGCAGGCUUUUGUAGGUUUCUGUGGAAACGCUCCAUGAUUUGCUGAAUGAAGAGAAAGAGAUGGAAGUGAGUUGGACCACAGAGAAAAAUGGCAACAUUUGCAGAGAGUUAAAUCAAAGCUCAAGACAAAAACUGGGCCUUUUUGCUACAGCUACUCCUAAAGCCUUGGCCCACGGUUGGACCCUGAGAAAAAAAAAAA